rnacentral:rRNA from 1 species
AUGAACGCUGGCGGCGUGCCUAAUACAUGCAAGUCGAGCGAACGGACGAGAAGCUUGCUUCUCUGAUGUUAGCGGCGGACGGGUGAGUAACACGUGGAUAACCUACCUAUAAGACUGGGAUAACUUCGGGAAACCGGAGCUAAUACCGGAUGAUAUUUUGAACCGCAUGGUUCAAAAGUGAAAGACGGUCUUGCUGUCACUUAUAGAUGGAUCCGCGCUGCAUUAGCUAGUUGGUAAGGUAACGGCUUACCAAGGCAACGAUGCAUAGCCGACCUGAGAGGGUGAUCGGCCACACUGGAACUGAGACACGGUCCAGACUCCUACGGGAGGCAGCAGUAGGGAAUCUUCCGCAAUGGGCGAAAGCCUGACGGAGCAACGCCGCGUGAGUGAUGAAGGUCUUCGGAUCGUAAAACUCUGUUAUUAGGGAAGAACAUACGUGUAAGUAACUGUGCACAUCUUGACGGUACCUAAUCAGAAAGCCACGGCUAACUACGUG